UACGUAGGAGGCAAGCGUUGUCCGGAAUUACUGGGCGUAAAGCGCGUGUAGGUGGUGGGACAAGUCUGCUGUGAAAGUGCCUGGCUUAACCGGGCGAGGUCGGCGGAAACUGUCCGACUCGAGGACGGUAGAGGGGGUGGAAUUCCCGGUGUAGUGGUGAAAUGCGUAGAGAUCGGGAGGAACACCGGUGGCGAAGGCGGGUCUCUGGGCCGAUACUGACGCUGAGGAGCGAAAGCGUGGGGAGCGAACAGG
rnacentral:rRNA from 1 species